UACAGAGGGGGCAAGCGUUGUUCGGAAUUACUGGGCGUAAAGGGCGCGUAGGCGGCCGCUUAAGUCAGACGUGAAAUCCCUUGGCUCAACCAAGGAACUGCGUCUGAUACUGAGUGGCUCGAGUCCGGGAGAGGGAAGCGGAAUUCCAGGUGUAGCGGUGAAAUGCGUAGAUAUCUGGAGGAACACCGGUGGCGAAGGCGGCUUCCUGGACCGGUUACUGACGCUGAGGCGCGAAAGCCAGGGGAGCAAACGGG
rnacentral:rRNA from 1 species